UAGCGAAGGGGGCUAGCGUUGUUCGGAAUCAACUGGGCGUAAAGCGCACUGUAGGCGGGACUUUUAAAGUCCGAGGGGUGAAAAUCCCCGGGGCUCAACCCCGGAACUGCCUUUGAUACUGGAAGUCUUGAGUCCGAGAGAGGUGAGUGGAACUCCGAGUGUAGAGGUGAAA
rnacentral:rRNA from 1 species